rnacentral:rRNA from 1 species
CAUAGGUUAAUGAGGCGAACCGGGGGAACUGAAACAUCUAAGUACCCCGAGGAAAAGAAAUCAACCGAGAUUCCCCCAGUAGCGGCGAGCGAACGGGGAGCAGCCCAGAGCCUGAAUCAGUGUGUGUGUUAGUGGAAGCGUCUGGAAAGGCGCGCGAUACAGGGUGACAGCCCCGUACACAAAAAUGCACAUACUGUGAGCUCGAUGAGUAGGGCGGGACACGUGGUAUCCUGUCUGAAUAUGGGGGGACCAUCCUCCAAGGCUAAAUACUCCUGACUGACCGAUAGUGAACCAGUACCGUGAGGGAAAGGCGAAAAGAACCCCGGCGAGGGGAGUGAAAAAGAACCUGAAACCGUGUACGUACAAGCAGUGGGAGCACAGAGCAAUCUGUGUGACUGCGUACCUUUUGUAUAAUGGGUCAGCGACUUAUAUUCUGUAGCAAGGUUAACCGAAUAGGGGAGCCGAAGGGAAACCGAGUCUUAACUGGGCGUUAAGUUGCAGGGUAUAGACCCGAAACCCGGUGAUCUAGCCAUGGGCAGGUUGAAGGUUGGGUAACACUAACUGGAGGACCGAACCGACUAAUGUUGAAAAAUUAGCGGAUGACUUGUGGCUGGGGGUGAAAGGCCAAUCAAACCGGGAGAUAGCUGGUUCUCCCCGAAAGCUAUUUAGGUAGCGCCUCGUGAAUUCAUCUCCGGGGGUAGAGCACUGUUUCGGCAAGGGGGUCAUCCCGACUUACCAACCCGAUGCAAACUGCGAAUACCGGAGAAUGUUAUCACGGGAGACACACGGCGGGUGCUAACGUCCGUCGUGAAGAGGGAAACAACCCAGACCGCCAGCUAAGGUCCCAAAGUCAUGGUUAAGUGGGAAACGAUGUGGGAAGGCCCAGACAGCCAGGAUGUUGGCUUAGAAGCAGCCAUCAUUUAAAGAAAGCGUAAUAGCUCACUGGUCGAGUCGGCCUGCGCGGAAGAUGUAACGGGGCUAAACCAUGCACCGAAGCUGCGGCAGCGACGCUUAUGCGUUGUUGGGUAGGGGAGCGUUCUGUAAGCCUGCGAAGGUGUGCUGUGAGGCAU